rnacentral:misc_RNA from 1 species
GGAGUGUAUUAGAGCUGCAGUUGAAAAGUUGCAAAAUAUCAACAACACUUUUAAGAUCUGCAAAAAAGCUCUCUAAGCUGCGAUUCAAUGCAAGGAGGAUCAAAUGGAAUCGGUUAUGGCCUCAAAUAUCAGGCACGAUGUAUCGCCGAUGUGAAAGCUGAUACGGAUCACACCAGUUUCCUAACCGGAACUCUCAGCCUAAAAGAAGAAAAUGAGGUACAUUUGAUCCGGAUUUCUU